UAAUACGUAGGGUGCGAGCGUUAAUCGGAAUUACUGGGCGUAAAGCGUGCGCAGGCGGUGAUGUAAGACCGAUGUGAAAUCCCCGGGCUUAACCUGGGAACUGCAUUGGUGACUGCAUCGCUGGAGUAUGGCAGAGGGGGGUAGAAUUCCACGUGUAGCAGUGAAAUGCGUAGAGAUGUGGAGGAAUACCGAUGGCGAAGGCAGCCCCCUGGGCCAAUACUGACGCUCAUGCACGAAAGCGUGGGGAGCAAACAGG
rnacentral:rRNA from 1 species